GGCGUACGGGUGAGUAACACGUGGAUUAUCUACCUCUUGGUGGGGAAUAACCCUGGGAAACCGGGGGUAAUACCGCAUGAGCUCGAAAGAGGAAAGUCGAAAGACGCCGAGAGAGGAGUCCGCGGCCGAUUAGCUAGUUGGCGGGGUAACGGCCCACCAAGGCGAAGAUCGGUAGCCGGCCUGAGAGGGCACACGGCCACACUGGCACUGAAACACGGGCCAGACUCCUACGGGAGGCAGCAGUGGGGAAUCUUGCACAAUGGGGGAAACCCUGAUGCAGCGACGCCGCGUGAGCGAUGAAGCCCUUCGGGGUGUAAAGCUCUUUCGACGGGAACGAUAAUGACGGUACCCGGAGAAGAAGCUGCGGCUAACUACGUGCCAGCAGCCGCGGUAAUACGUAGGCAGCGAGCGUUGUUCGGAGUUACUGGGCGUAAAGAGUGUGUAGGCGGUGUCGUAAGUUCGGUGUGAAAUCUCCCGGCUUAACUGGGAGGGUGCGCCGGAAACUGCGAGACUUGAGUACGGGAGAGGGAAGCGGAAUUCCUGGUGUAGCGGUGAAAUGCGUAGAUAUCAGGAGGAACACCUGCGGUGUAGACGGCUUCCUGGACCGACAUUGACGCUGAGGCGCGAAAGCCAGGGGAGCAAACGGGAUUAGAUACCCCGGUAGUCC
rnacentral:rRNA from 1 species